GUGGCUGUGGCUCAGUGGUAGGGCACCCGCGGUGCAUGUGUGAGGUCCUGGGUUCAAUCCUCAGCACCACA
rnacentral:tRNA from 1 species